GGGCAGUGACUUCCGCCCCUAGGGAGCGACAGCUGUUCUUCCAGCUCUUUUCAGACAUGAGGCCAGGCAGUAUUUUCAGAUUAAAUAUCUAUUGAGAGAAUGAGUGAAAGAGCUAGCCAUCGCUAGCCUCCACCUGGUACCUGAUGAGAAGAUGACCCGUGGCUCCUAUUCAUGGCAGAGGAGAUUAGCAUCUCAAAGGGCCAGAAGGCAUGGGCUGGAGCUCUCUCAGCUUCUGCGAUUGGCUUCAAAAAUCUCUUCCUAUCAUUUUGGACUAAUGGCAUUUGUCAUCCAGUGAAGGUUAGUGAAACCAAUGUUUGAUAACCACCUCCUCCACCCUGACCCUUUGUGGAUGUGCCAAGAGGCAGCUGCAAAACCGGAUUCACAACAGAGGCCGUCAAGGAAAACACGAAAGAGAUUGUGGAGAUAGCAUAAAAGAUGGGGCCUGAAUGGUUGCAAGAUGUGGAUCUUGAAUUCAAGCGCUAAUGGACACCAGCCCCACCAGAGGAAUGAACGGAAGAUGGCUUGAUGGAGAUGAGUGCCCUGCCAGUGCCAGUGAUGAGGAAGAAGAUGAAGAAGCAGAGGCGGAAAACAAUUUGACAGUAGACAGUCCGGCAGAAGGAUGCUGACUCUUCAGGCCUGCUUUUGAUUUCUUUUACGAUAACAGGUUUUGGAACUAAAGCGGAUAGUGGAAGAUGGACUGGUACCCUAUGGAAAACAUUAGUUACACCAAGCAUGCCUGCCUCCCCUUCCACCUCCUUCUCCUCUUCCUCCUCUGUCACCCCCGAGUCAGCAAGACCAUCCCCUCCCCUUCCUCCUGAGCCUCCUCAGCAUGAAGACGAGGAGGAUGAAGACCUUAAUGACGAACCACUUCCACUUAAUGAACAGUAAAUAGUCAUCAGGCCUUGCAGUUAAGAAACUUAUCUGUUGUGUAUAUUACAUCACUGGGUGACAAUCUAAGACAUUCUUGUCUCAUCAUCAUCAUCACUAAGUAUUCAUUGUGUAGGACAUCAUGUGCAAGAGUCGUAGUGAGGAGUUGUUGUGGCCCAGCAGGUUGAGAACCCAACAUUAGUGUCCGUGAGGAUGUGGAUUUGAUCCUUGGCCUCACUUAGUGGGUUAAGGAUCUGCAAGCUGCAGCACAGGUCUCAGGUGUAGCUUGGAUCCAGUGUGGCUGUGGCUGUGGCAGAGGCCCGCAGCUGCAGCUCUGAUUCGACCCCUAGCCCGGGAACUUCCAUAUGUUGUAGGUUCAGCCUAAAAAAAAAUAAAGUAAGGCAAAGACGUGUAUUUAAGUGGAUGGCCUAUCUUAUCCUUACAUAGGCAUAAGGCAAGAGCUAUUUAAUAUAAAAUUAAUAAUGUUAGUUUUCUUACCGUUUUAUUGUUUUUUAAUUUUUUUGUCUUUUUAGGGCCACACCCGUGGCAUAUGGAGGGUCCCAGGCUAGGGGUCUAAUCCGAGCCGCAUCUGCGACCUACACCACAGCUCACGGCAACGUGGGAUCGUUAACCUCCUGAGCGAGGCCAGGGAUCCAACCCGAAACCUCGUGGUUCCUAGUUGGAUUCAUUUCUCCUGCGCCACGACAGGAACUCCUUCUUACUGUUUUAUAAUUUGGCUUUCAAAGAAUUAUAUUACCGUACGGAAUCUCUCUCUCUCAUAAUUGGGGAAACUGUAUCAGCCUAUCAUUACAGGUAAGUGGUUUUUAAAAAAUGUAACAAUGUUUCCAAUGCUGUAUUAUGACUAUGACUGUAAUACUGUAUGCCAUAAAAAUUUUAUAACAAUUCAUUUAUUAAUGUAUUGGCUAGGCUACUGUGAAGCUAUUGUACACUAGGCCACCAUAAAGCAAUCACAUUGCUGCUUCUUCAUUAACAAUGCAUGAAUCGUUAUACCUGUAAAUAACUGAAUUUCCUUUUCAUAUUAUCUUUUAUUUUUAUCUUUUAUUUUUAAAGUCUACUGUUAGUAAUACAUAUAACAUAUAGAGUUUUGUAUUAUAUAUGACAAUUUGAUGUAAGUACUGACAGACAAUUCAUCUUGUGAACAGACAACAUAAACUUACAGUAUUGGUAAAUGUAUUUUCCUUAUGACUUUCUUUUUAUAGCCACAUCUGCCACACAUAGAAGAUUCCCAGCCAGGAGUUGAUUUGGAGCUGCAGCUGUGGCUUAUGCCACAGCCACAUGGCAACAUGGAUCUGAGCCUCGUUUGAGCUUUUGGCAUUGCCAGAACAUUAACCCACUGAGUGAGGCCAGGGAUUGAACCCACAUCCUCACAAAGACAAUGUUGGGUCCUUAACCCACUGAGCCACAGUGGGAGCUCCCCUUAUGAUUUUUUCUUUUUCUUUUCUUUUUUCUUUUCUUUUCUCUUCUCUUCUCUUCUCUUCUCUUCUCUUCUUUUCUUUCUUUCUUUCUUUCUUUCUUUCUUUCUUUCUUUCUUUCUUUCUCUCUCUCUCUCUCUCUCUCUCUCUCUUUUCCUUCCUUCCUUCCUUCCUUCCUUCCUUCCUUCCUUCCUUCCUUCCUUCCUUCCUUCCCUUUCUUGUUUGCAUGUACCUGAGGCGUAUGGAGGUUUCCAGCUAGGGGUCGAACCCGAGCUGUAGCUGCUGGCCUACACCACAGCCACAGCAAUGCCAGAUCUGAGCCAUGUCUGUGACCUACACCAUAGCUCACAGCAAUGCUGGAUCCUUAACCCACUGAGUGAGGCCAGGGAUCAAACAUGCAUCCUCAUGGAUCCUAGUCAGAUUUGUUUCCACUGUGCCAUGACGGGAACUCCCCCCCUUAUGAUUUUCUUAAUAACAUUUUAUUUUCUCUAGCUUACUUUAUUGUAAGAAUACAGUAUAUAGUAUAUAUAACAUAUCGAAUGUGUGUUAAUUGACUGUUUAUGUUAUCAGUAAGGCUUCUGGUCAACAGUAGGCUGUUAGUAAGUUUUGAGGGGGGGAGUCAGGAGUGACUUGUGAAUUUUUGACCUCAUAAGGGGUCAGGGCCUCUAAGCCCUGUGUUGCUCGUGCAUAAGCUGUAUGUGUCCUUGACAGUUGUAAUUAAAGAGGCAAAAAAAAAAAAAAAAAAAAAAAAAAAAAAAAAAA
rnacentral:lncRNA from 1 species